rnacentral:rRNA from 1 species
CCUACGGGAGGCAGCAGUGAGGAAUAUUGGUCAAUGGGCGAGAGCCUGAACCAGCCAAGUCGCGUGAAGGAUGAAGGAUCUAUGGUUUGUAAACUUCUUUUAUAUGGGAAUAAAAUGUUCCACGUGUGGGAUUUUGUAUGUACCAUAUGAAUAAGGAUCGGCUAACUCCGUGCCAGCAGCCGCGGUAAUACGGUGGAUCCGAGCGUUAUCCGGAUUUAUUGGGUUUAAAGGGAGCGUAGGUGGAUUGUUAAGUCAGUUGUGAAAGUUUGCGGCUCAACCGUAAAAUUGCAGUUGAAACUGGCAGUCUUGAGUACAGUAGAGGUGAGCGGAAUUCGUGGUGUAGCGGUGAAAUGCUUAGAUAUCACGAAGAACUCCGAUUGCGAAGGCAGCUCACUGGACUGCAACUGACACUGAGGCUCGAAAGUGUGGGUAUCAAACAGGAUUAGAUACCCCAGUAGUC